GACGUACACGGCGCUUAAUGCAGACAGGGCUGUUAUCUUGGAUCAGAUCAAAAAUCAACUUAUCUUCGAGCCGGCUCGAGAUAACAUUAAGCCCGGAAAAGGGAAUCCUCGUAAGUAUUGUGAUUACCAUCAAGCUUCGGGUCAUGAUACAAACGAUUGCGCCAGUUUAAAAGACUUCAUUGAAAGAAAGGUACAAGGUGGGGCUUUAAUUCAGUAUGUGGCUGCCAGAACUAAUCAACAGCAGGACCGAGUACCUGUCCCGGCAGCUCAACCGAAUCAGCCAGUGUUGCCG
rnacentral:lncRNA from 1 species